GACGAACGCUGGCGGCGUGCUUAACACAUGCAAGUCGAACGAUGAUGCUCCAGCUUGCUGGGGUGGAUUAGUGGCGAACGGGUGAGUAAUACGUGAGUAACCUGCCCUUGACUCUGGGAUAAGCCUGGGAAACUGGGUCUAAUACUGGAUACUACACAGUCUCGCAUGGGGUUGUGUGGAAAGGGUUUUACUGGUUUUGGAUGGGCUCACGGCCUAUCAGCUUGUUGGUGGGGUAAUGGCCUACCAAGGCGACGACGGGUAGCCGGCCUGAGAGGGUGACCGGCCACACUGGGACUGAGACACGGCCCAGACUCCUACGGGAGGCAGCAGUGGGGAAUAUUGCACAAUGGGCGAAAGCCUGAUGCAGCGACGCCGCGUGAGGGAUGACGGCCUUCGGGUUGUAAACCUCUUUCAGCACGGAAGAAGCGAAAGUGACGGUAC
rnacentral:rRNA from 1 species